rnacentral:snRNA from 1 species
GGAUGUGAGGGCAAUCUGGCUGCGACAUCUGUCACCCCAUUGAUCGCCAGGGUUGAUUCGGCUGAUCUGGCUGGCUAGGCGGGUGUCCCCUUCCUCCCUCACCAUUCCAUGUGCGUCCCUCUCGAAAUGGGGUAGAGGACGGCCUUCCCUGAAUAGAGACGGACUGGUCUUCGGUGGAGGGUAUAUGAGUAGCUGCGCUCCCCUGCUAGAACCUCCAAACAAACUCUCAGAAUGACUUAGAGGAGGAAGAAACUAGAAGCAGUAUUUACAAUUCAGAAGUAUUC